GUGGAUUAGCGGCGGACGGGUGAGUAACACGUGAGUAACCUGCCUUAGAUAUUGGGAUAGCCUCGGGAAACCGGGAUUAAUACCAAAUAAAAUCAUAAUGACACACGUCAUAACGAUCAAAACUCCGGUGGUCUAAGAUGGACUCGCGUCCCAUUAGCUAGUUGGUAGAGUAAAAGCCUACCAAGGCGACGAUGGGUAGCCGGCCUGAGAGGGUGAACGGCCACAUUGGAACUGAGAAACGGUCCAA
rnacentral:rRNA from 1 species